UACGAAGGGGGCUAGCGUUGCCCGGAAUCACUGGGCGUAAAGGGUGCGUAGGCGGGUCUUUAAGUCAGGGGUGAAAUCCUGGAGCUCAACUCCAGAACUGCCUUUGAUACUGAGGAUCUUGAGUACGGGAGAGGUGAGUGGAACUGCGAGUGUAGAGGUGAAAUUCGUAGAUAUCAGGAAGAACACCCGUGGCUAAGGCGGCUCUCUAGUACGGUACUGACGCUGAGACGCGAAAGCGUGGGGAGCGAACAGG
rnacentral:rRNA from 1 species